GGAGCAGCAUCAGCAGGAGGCGCCCUCGCCGGUCUGGCUCAGAGGCAUCCUGGAGGCGCGUCUCCCUCUCUGUCUCUCCCGACUUUCGUUGUUCUCUGGACGUCCAGGCUCUCUGUGCCCGCUCCGGUGUAGGAGCCGCAUGUCAGGUCUCCGGAGACGCGACCGCGGAUUUGGAAACCUUGCGACGGCGGCAGCGCCUCUCCCUCCCUCCUCAUGCCGCUGCCCCUGGGCGCCGCCUUCUUCAUCGCCCUACUGCAGGUGCUCCAAGCGCAGAAGCAAGACAUGAUUCCUCAGAACAGCACCACUGAGGCGUCAGUGGUAUCCUUCCAUGAUGUAUGGAAUCGCAGCUUAUGCCAGCCUUUGGAAAAGCUGGUCAAUGUUGUGUCGGAGUACCCCAGUGAAGUUGAGCAUGUGUUCAGCCCUCCCUGCGUUCCUUUGCACCGCUGCAGUGGAUGCUGCCAGGAUGAGAGGCUCCAGUGCAUCCCAGUGGAGACAGCCAAUGUCACCAUGCAGCUUGUGAAGAUUAAUUCAGAGAAGCCUAUGCCAUAUGUAGAACUGUCCUUUGUGGAGCACAGGAAAUGUGUCUGCAGGCACUAUGUUCCAACUGUGACUCUGUAUCUCUUCUUGUGCCUAGGCCGCGGCAAGACGUUUUGAAAUCAGGGAGGAGGAGGAGACCCAAGGGACGCAGCAAGAGGAAGCGAGCAAAGCAGAAAAUCAAAAAUUGAUCUCUAUGUGUACCGUUUGAUGGAGACGGAUGCUUUGUCAGCAGAUGGCUGACAAAUGCCACGAUGGCUGCUUUUAUUACUCAGUCCUCAUCAACACUUCUCUACCCAUGAAACCAAUUGCAUUUUUGACUGAUUAAUUCGAGGGGAGUCCCAGCAGCUCCCUUGCUUGCAACUCCUGACCAAAAAAGGAGAGACAACACUGCAGUAGAAAUAUAUCAGGCCAUUAUUAGGAAUAUGCCUAUUAUAAUCCCAUCAGAGCAUGCUGUUGCAGGAGCAGGCAAAUGCAGCAGCUGGACAGGAAGCUGUGUGCUUGUCUAGAUCUGUGUCCUGCUUAUACAUACCCAGUAUUUCACAUGGAUAUCUGCAGAACAUGGAUUAAAAUGGAAGCAUGAGCAAAGAGUAGUUGUCCUGACGGAUAGGUACAACAUUUUCUAGUUUGAAGAACCUAAAAUGAACCAGCUCAGUACUGAAGCUGAACUGUCUGGAUGCUUCGACAUAUCCUACUGGAGAUUGAGAUAUAAAAAAACCUCACAAAACAAGAAGGAUUUGAGUCAAGCUUGUUGUCUUGUUUUCCAUCAAGCCUGCUGCACUGGAAACACUUUGUUGGUGAAGGACUUGGAUUUCAGAAGAAACGAUACUUCUUCAGCUUCAGCGCAUCUAAUAAUAUCUUUAAUUUUGUUGAAUGGAUAGAUGGACAAAGUUUUCUCGUCAAGGAGCAUCCUGGAGACAGUGGGAAGAGUUUUCCCAUUUUGAGGCAGCAAGUCCUGGUCCAAAGGAAGCUCUAGCAUGAAGAGGCCUUGUCCUGGAAAUACGGCGAUGGGAAUUGGGAGAGCAGUACAUGAGGGGUACAAAUUGUUUGACUGGAAGAAGCCAUGCAAGAGGGUACCUCCCAAUCCUAAAUAAAUAAAUGUAUCUUUGAUAGUGUACAGAUUGAUUUUCCCUAAUAGAAUUAUAACAGUAUCUUGUGCUUGGCUAAUGUAGAGCUUGGAAAAGCUUAUUGGGGGCUGCAAACAUUUCUUGACCAGUGGGUUGCUGUGAGUUUUCUGGGCAGUAUAGCCAUGUUCCAGAAGCAUUAUCCCCUGACGUUUCUCCCACAUCUAUGGCAGGCAUCCUCCGAGGUGUGAGGCCUGUUGGAAACUAGGCAAGUGGGGUUUAUAUAUCUGUGAAAAGUCCAAGCUGGGCGAAAGAACUCUUGUCUGUUUGAGGCAAGUAUGAAUGUUGCAAUUGAUCACCUUGAUUAGCAUUUAAUGGCUUUGCAGAUUUAAACCCUGUUGUUGAGAGUUGGGAUCUGAUUAUUAGCUGGGCCUGAUUAUUUCUUGUCUGGAAUUCCCCUGUUCUCUGAGUGUUAUUCUUUAUUUACUGUCCCGAUUUUAGAGUUUUUAAUACUAAUAGCAAGAUUUUGUUCAUUUUCAUGAUUUCCUCCUUUCAGUUGAAAUUGUCUACAUGUUUGUGGUUUUCAAUGGCAUUUCUGUGUAGUCUGACAUGGCAGUUGUUUGAGUUGUUAGCAUUUUUCUGUUCUCAGGCAGGCUUUGAAUCUGCAAAGCCAUUAAAGGCUAAUCAAGGUGACCAAUUGCAACAUUCACACUUGCCCCAAACAGACAAGAGUUCUUUCUCCCAACCUGGACUUUCCGCAGAUAUGUAAACCCCACUUGCAUCGUUUCCACUUCUGAGGAUGACUGCCAUAGAUGUGGGCAAAAUGUCAGGAGAGAAUGCUUCUGGCAUAUGGCCAUACAGCCCAGAAAACUCACAGCAACCCAGUGAUUCCGGCCAUGAAAGCCUUCAACAACACAUUUUUUAACCAGCAUGCCACUUCACCUCUCCCAAAACUGGAGGAUUCUGAUCACUGUAGUCCAGAAAGUAACUUUUCCAGUUUGUGUUUCACAUGACAACAGUUGGACAUGCAUUUAUCUAUGAUGUUGCUCUGAAGUAAUUUGAUAGGCUUUUAUAGGGAGGCAGUUCUGGUCCAGUUCUUUUCCCCACUUAUUCUGUAACACAGUGGUUCUCAACCUGGGGUCUCCAGAUGUUUUUGGCCUUCAACACCCAGAAAUCCUAACAGCUUGUAAACUGGCUGGGACUUCUGGGAGUUGUAGGCCAAAAACACCUGGGGAUUCCAGGUUGAGGACCACUGCAAGUCUAAGAGGUCCCUUGCAUGGCACUUUAUCAUAUUUGAUUAUAACUAUUGUAGUAGCACCCAUUGAUCUUAUUUUACAAGCACAAUGAUCCAAAGACAAUUUAGAAUAAUAAAACAAUAAAACUUUAUUUGUAUUCCGCCCUAUCUCCCCGAGGAGGAGGUAUCAAAGCAUAUUUAGGUCACAAUAAAAGUCAAACUCACUGUGCAUAACUGAAGUUGAAUUCUUACAUUUGCUCUAGGAAGAAAUUCUGAUAUCAUUGCAAUAUUUUUAAAUGCAUUCCCAAAGACCCAACGGGAUUUUGGGACCUCCUAUAAAGAGAAUAAGAAAAAUGUAACCAAUCCUCUCUCUUCUAGUCUUUAAUUUGGCCCAAAACCCUGCUGCAGAAGGCCAUGAAACCCCCUGGAACAGUUUUUUGGGUGUCAGAAUUCUACAAGAGGGUUGCAAAAAUCCUGAUACAAUUGCAAGCAUUGCUUUGGAUUUAAGCCUAUGUUGUAUUUUGCAAAGAACACAGCUAUUAUGUGUAAUAUCUUGCUACAUGGGGUUUGCCUAAAAUCAUGUAGGCAAAAUUAUGCAAAAGAGGAAGUAUCAGCACUGUUUUUUCCCCCCUUGUAUUAAUAUCUAUGACAUGUUCUUAGUGAAAACAGACAACGGAGUAGGCCCUGGCAUGUUUACCAUGUUAGUACAUUUGCUCUGCAGUAUCCAGUAUAAGCCAAUGCUGAUUGACUAAACUUAUCUUUGAAUGGGUUUUGUGAUUAUAUUACAACCACUGGAUGGCAACUCAAUAUUUAUUCUGGUCUUGUGGAAGACUGUUUUAUUCUGUGGGGUCAAGUGGGGCUUAGGUCCUGCUUUUCCAUUCAGUGCAAUGUUGCAGCAACAUUCCAAAUAAAUUCUAAAUUAAA